rnacentral:tRNA from 1 species
GGCCCGAUGGUCUAGCGGUUAAGACUUCCGUCCCUCAGUUGAUCAACCAAUCUUGGAUACCUUCAGGCUCACACCUUGGAUAUCUCGAGUCUGCGGUUGAUUGAGGAACGAUGGAGAACUCCAGUUCGAAUCUGGAUCGGGCCA